CCUACGGGGGACAGCAGUGGGGGAUAUUGCACAAUGGGGGGAACCCUGAUGCAGCGACGCCGCGUGGGUGAAGGAGUGCUUCGGCAUGUAAAGCCCUAUCGGCAGGGAAGAAGCAAGACGGUACCUGACUAAGAAGCCCCGGCUAACUACGUGCCAGCAGCCGCGGUAAUACGUAGGGGGCGAGCGUUAUCCGGAUUCACUGGGUGUAAAGGGAGCGUAGACGGCCAUGCAAGCCAGGGGGGAAAGCCCGGGGCCCAACCCCGGGACUGCCCUUGGAACUGUGCGGCUAGAGUGCGGGAGGGGCAGGCGGAAUUCCUGGUGUAGCGGUGAAAUGCGUAGAUAUCAGGAGGAACACCGGCGGCGAAGGCGGCCUGCUGGACCGCGACUGACGUUGAGGCUCGAAAGCGUGGGGAGCGAACAGGAUUAGAUACCCCUGUAGUC
rnacentral:rRNA from 1 species